GAUGAAGAACGUAGCGAAAUGCGAUAAGUAGUGUGAAUUGCAGAAUUCAGUGAAUCAUCGAAUCUUUGAACGCACAUUGCGCCCCUUGGUAUCCCGAGGGGCAUGCCUGUUCGAGCGUCAUUUGUACCCUCAAGCUUUGCUUGGUGUUGGGCGUCUUGUCUCUAGCUUUGCUGGAGACUCGCCUUAAAGUAAUUGGCAGCCGGCCUACUGGUUUCGGAGCGCAGCACAAGUCGCACUCUCUAUCAGCAAAGGUCUAGCAUCCAUUAAGCCUUUUUUUCAACUUUUGACCUCGGAUCAGGUAGGGAUACCCGCUGAACUUAAGCAUAUCAAUAAGCGGAGGA
rnacentral:misc_RNA from 1 species